rfam:Corynebacterium ureicelerivorans strain IMMIB RIV-2301, complete genome.
ACUCGGGCACGAUCUCCGCGCUUUGCUUCGCGUCGCGCGACGAGAGCACGGAGAACCGACCCGUAGUUCAAUCCUGAGGGA